GUGGCACACUGACAUAAUUGCAGCACAGCAAAAACAGACCCAACUUGAUGGUAUUUAACUACCAUGACGAGCAGCGUGUACACAUCACAGCUGGUCGCAGAGGUGAGCAGAGUGGCUGGAGCUUUGUGUGCAGAGCAGCAUUGCUCCGUACGCCAUGUCGUCUCGAUUGUAAACAGGAGCUGCAAAAUGGAGCCAGGGUGCUCAAAAUGGAGAACCACGCAUUCGCUCCGGAGAGGUGUUCACUGAGCUUGUGCUGUGACCUCAGCCUGCACGUACAGCGUCGCAAGCUCGGCUCACUUCUCCAUAGACACUACUGAGCAUGUGCUGCGACCUCACACAAGCACACACACGUACAGCAACACACAGAGGCAGACAGACACGCAUGCAGGAUACGGAAUUCAUCUCUCCUCGUAUGUCUGCGCCAUAAUAAACAAGAGUGAAAUUGCAAGGCUGCAGACAGCCCGCUCAGAAUACCAAACAGAGAAGCAGAGGAGGGAGGGAGGGGAAAGAACUGCGCCCUGAAGAAGGGGGUUCUCAACUGGCAACCCUUGUUGCCAAAAACAAGGACAGCUAUCAUGGCAACACGUGAGAGACCCCAAACACCACCAGUGGAUAACAACACAAAUUUCUCUUGAGCACUUAAAUUAAUUCAACAGUUCAUCAUUUAAACCAACAAGUCCUUUAGACACAUUUUUUUCCUAGUGGGAACAUCUUGACCAAAGUGGGGCAACAAAUGUAAAAAAUGAUGCCUUGAUAUUUACCAUUGUCUUGCAGCACAACAAACUACAAUGGACUAAAAUGUUAUCUAGUGUACUUUGGCAUUUAAACCAUAAUAUGUUUUAAUGUGUAAUACCUAUCAGUUGGUCUUGAGAGUUCAUGACACUUAUCACAAAGGCUAUUUAAUCAUUUGCCAUCUUGGCCAGAUGUGCAGAUAUAACCAACAACUUAUUAAAAGUUUUUUAAAUCACAAGUCAAUUUUUCAGCAUAUCAACACCAACAUUACAACUGUGGGGAAACAUUAAUUUCAGUAUAAUAGAGAAUGU